UAGGGAAUCUUCGGCAAUGGGGGGAACCCUGACCGAGCAACGCCGCGUGAGUGAAGAAGGUUUUCGGAUCGUAAAGCUCUGUUGUUAAGGAAGAACGAGUGUGAGAAUGGAAAGUUCAUGCUGUGACGGUACUUAACCAGAAAGGGACGGCUAACUACGUGCCAGCAGCCGCGGUAAUACGUAGGUCCCGAGCGUUGUCCGGAUUUAUUGGGCGUAAAGCGAGCGCAGGCGGUUAGAAAAGUCUGAAGGUAAAGGCAGUGGCUCAACCAUAUUAGGCUAUGGAAACUGUUCAACAUGAGUGCAGAAGGGGAGAGUGGAAUUCCAUGUGUAGCGGUGAAAUGCGUAAAAAUAUGGAGGAAAACCAGUGGAAAGGGCAACUUUCUGGUCUGUAACUAACGCAGAUGCUCGAAAGCGUGGGUAGCAAACAGG
rnacentral:rRNA from 1 species